rnacentral:rRNA from 1 species
GAUGAACGCUAGCUACAGGCUUAACACAUGCAAGUCGAGGGGAAACGAUAGAGAAAGCUUGCUUUUUCUAGGCGUCGACCGGCGCACGGGUGAGUAACGCGUAUCCAACCUGCCCAUCACUUGGGGAUAACCUUGCGAAAGUAAGACUAAUACCCAAUGACGUCUCUAGAAGACAUCUGAAGGAGAUUAAAGAUUUAUCGGUGAUGGAUGGGGAUGCGUCUGAUUAGCUUGUUGGCGGGGUAACGGCCCACCAAGGCGACGAUCAGUAGCCGGACUGAGAGGUUGAACGGCCACAUUGGGACUGAGAUACGGCCCAGACUCCUACGGGAGGCAGCAGUGGGGAAUAUUGGGCAAUGGGCGCAAGCCUGACCCAGCAACGCCGCGUGAAGGAAGAAGGCUUUCGGGUUGUAAACUUCUUUUGUCUAGGGACGAGUAGAAGACGGUACCUGACGAAUAAGCCACGGCUAACUACGUGCCAGCAGCCGCGGU